GAAAGAUGCUGAUUGGUUUGUUUUGUUGCUGGGCGUUUACUGAUUUCAGAGAGACUGAACAUCAUUGGUCCAAUCUUUAAUUGAUAACUUAAUAUUGACAGAAAUGACGUAGUUUUAAAGUUUGAUGAGCGGCGCUAAAAUGAACCGAGAGACACAAUCGACUUUUAUUCUCCUUAUUUUUACUUCCGCUUGAAGUGAAACGAGUUGGAUUUAAUCGGUGGACUUUAGUUCUUUAAAACGAGCUCCUGUUCGUCUCCAAAUGUCUGUUUUUGGACCCAUAAAUACAUUUGAACUGCAGCUAGACAGGAUAGCUAAAAUGUCGGGUCGCGUGCAACCUCCGCGCUGUAAAACAUUAAGAAACAGAUACCCUGGGGUCAAAGGUGCAGCUCCAGAGCCGUCUGUCACAACACUUAAAACAGAUGAUGGGAUGGUCCUGCAGUGUGCUGUUCGAGGUGCUUCUCCACAACCUAAAGUAGAGUGGAAGGACAGUGCUGGAAACAUCCUUCCUGCUAAAGAACCACAGGUCACUGAAAGAGGAGGAAGCUACGACGUCAUCCUACAAGCUCCUUUGACCAAGGCUGACCACUUCCGCUGUGUUGUCACACAGGAAGAAAUCAACCAUCAGACUUAUGUUGAGACAUAUGCUGAGCUUCGUAAUGGUGAGAUUCAUCCUCGUCAUAGUUUUAUGUUAAAAUUAUUUAGUUUUUGUGUUAUUUGUUUCCAAAAGAAACGUUAACAUUUAUUCAGUCCAAACACAAAGGAAAUUGUGAUGAAGACGUCUACACAAGUUAAACAUUUUUCUUAUUCUGAGACUCCACUUGAUGACUGUAUAGAGAUAAGAGUAAAAGUGAAAGGGUCUGGAGGGAAAAACCAGAGAGAACAAACACACACAGACACAGAGCAAAGCAGCCACGUUGAUAUUUGAGCAGCGUUUGGUUGGUAGCUGCUGCUCAUUUCCCCCCCUGUUGUGUUCAUGUUGUUGUUGUGUUUCAGAGAAACUGUGCUCAUUGAGAAGUGCAGCAUGAAACUUUUAGUACUGAAACAUUUGAGCUCUGUCUCCUGAAGCAGAACUUCUGCUGCCUUUUGGAGGUUUGCAGGUUGCAAAUCAACAGUCACAUUACAUUUUUACCAACAAGCUUUUUGAUGACGAGAGGCUGAUGAGAUGAAAUACUCGCUCUUCAGAUGUGUCACUGAAUGGAUGUUCCAACACUAAAGCUAUUUUUCAGUGACAUAAAAACCCUCUUGUGAUUCCCAGCUCUUGUCACUGCCACUUGUUCACUGGCGUGCACAGACUGAAGGUCAGCCCCAACUCUGAGCCUCCUUUCUCUAUAGUUUGUGGCUACUUUCCAGUUGAGAUGGCAGCGUGCNNNNNNNNNNNNNNNNNNNNGGUCACAGAAAGAGGAGGAAGCUACAACGUCAUCCUACAAGCUCCUUUAACCAAGACCGACAACUUCACCUGUGUAGUCACACAGAAGGAAAUCAACCAUCAGAUUUCUGCUGACAUAUAUGCUCUUAAUGGUGAGAUUCUUCCAAGUUCUAUUUUUAUAUUCAAAUAAUUUUUGUAAAUGUUCUUCAGACUGAACGCAAAGAAAAAUGUGAUGAAGACGUCUACACAAGUUGAACAUUUUUUAAACUGGCUGUUAAAUUCACUCUUAUUCUGAGACUCCACUUCAUUAAUAUACAGAGAUAAAAGGAAGAAUGAGAGGGUCUGGAGGGAAAUAACAGAAAUAACUCACACACACACCCACACACCCACACACACACACACACACACACACACACACACACACACACACACACAGAGCCGACCCACCACCAAGAAGCACAUAAUGAUUUUAAUCUGGACUUCACUGGACAGCAGUCAGUGGAGGAAGAACAACUCACAUUAUUAACUUCAGUAAAAGUAGUGAAACCACAGAGUAAAAAUACUCUGUUACAAGUUAAAGUCCACUUGAGUAAAAUCAGUGUCUCACUGCAUGGUACGGCUCGGCUCGGCUCGGCUCAGCCACUCAACAGUAAAUGAUUACUGUGUGUCUGAAAUGGAGCAGCCACGUUGAUAUUUGAGCAGCGUUUGGUUGGUAGCUGCUGCUCAUUUCCCCCCCUGUUGUGUUCAUGUUGUUGUUGUGUUUCAGAGAAACUGUGCUCAUUGAGAAGUGCAGCAUGAAACUUUUAGUACUGAAACAUUUGAGCUCUGUCUCCUGAAGCAGAACUUCUGCUGCCUUUUGGAGGUUUGCAGGUUGCACAUCAACAGUCACAUUACAUUUUUACCAACAAGCUUUUUGAUGACGAGAGGCUGAUGAGAUGAAAUACUCGCUCUUCAGAUGUGUCACUGAAUGGAUGUUCCAACACUAAAGCUAUUUUUCAGUGACAUAAAAACCCUCUUGUGAUUCCCAGCUCUUGUCACUGC
rnacentral:lncRNA from 15 species